rnacentral:lncRNA from 1 species
GCAAAGUCCCUUCGAUCCGCAGCUGAGCCCCAGCCAGGUCUGCGGGGAGCAAGAACUGGGGUCUCUGGGGGCUGCCCCUGCUGCUGAGACUGCGAGGGACAAAUUGGGGGUACCUUGCAGUGGAGAAGUCCUGGCUUCUAGCUUCCCCACCCCCGCCCAUGUCCUUCUAUGCGUUAUAUUAAGCACAGCGGCUCUCAGGGUCCCAGCACUCACUUUUUGCCCCUUUCCUUCCCCCGUGCCUCAGUUUCCCCUCUUAGGGAGCAGAUGCCAGACUGGCUCCAGUAGAAAGCUUGAGGAUCCCUCCAGGCAGGGUAGCAGGCUCCAAGAGCACCCUGGAGUUCCUGCCGGGGUGUGGGGGUGCCCAAGCACCACCAGCCCCUCUCGCCGUGUGCCCGUGAGUGCCUGCUUGACCAUGUGGCUUCCUCUAUCGCAGGCCCCACAGACACCAGCGGCGCCUCCCGUUUCUCAGACG